AGCUCUGUGGUGUACAACAUAUUAAAUUGCAAAUUUAAAGAUGCGGGUUCAUGCCUGUCGGAGCUU
rnacentral:tRNA from 3 species